GGGACUAUGAUGAUAAAGCUAUGUUCUGAAGAGAGGUGAUGACAUAAAAAUCAUGCUCUGGUUCCU
rnacentral:snoRNA from 1 species